UAACGAAUCUUCCGCAAUGCACGCAAGUGUGACGGAGCGACGCCGCGUGUGGGACGAAGCCCUUCGGGGUGUAAACCACUGUCAGGGGACAGAAAGUUCUGAUCGUCCCCAGAGGAAGGCACGGCUAACUCUGUGCCAGCAGCCGCGGUAAGACAGAGGUGCCAAGCGUUAGGCGGAAUCACUGGGCUUAAAGCGUGUGUAGGCGGAUGCCUAAGUACCUUGUGAAAUCCCACGGCUCAACCGUGGAACUGCUGGGUAUACUGGGUGUCUUGGGCCAACUAGGGGUCGCUGGAACAAAUGGUGGAGCGGUGAAAUGCGUAGAUAUCAUUUGGAACGCCAAGGGCGAAAGCAAGCGACUGGGGUUGUGCCGACGCUGAGACACGAAAGCCAGGGGAGCGAACGGGAUUAGAUACCCCCGUAGUCC
rnacentral:rRNA from 1 species